CUUUGCCAGAAAAAUAAUUGACCUCAACAAGAACAAUAAUAAAAGAAAAAAAAUAUUAGAUAAAAGACUUUAUUGUUACAACACACAAGAAGGGCGUACGCUGAACAUAUUGUGUGCUUUUGGGUAGAGGAAUAGGGAAGGACACUCAGGGGAAGUAGCCGCAGUUUUGCUUACUCGUUAAACAAGAGUUAUUUACCUUUGACCACUCUGCCGUACUUUCGAGCUUUGCCGACUCGACGCGUGCGUAGUGGGACAGUGAUGAAGAACAGUAAGUUGGUACAGUGGGGAGGAGACAGAGAGACACUGUCAUCAGCUUCACUUGAAAGCACAUGUGUGUGUAUGUCGCCAGAAUCUAUUCCUUUUAAUCUCUUACAUAUAAUCUUCACUCUAGUGUGCUGGCGUGUCAUCAUACCGUAAUUGCCCUUGCGGAUUAAUAAAGUUGUAUUGUAUUAUUGAUCAUGCAUUGCUUUUGACAGUGGCCAUUUUGUCGUGGCCAUCUAAUGACUAAUGGUCACAAACCGAAAUCGAAACCGAAAAAAAAAAGAAAAAAAAAAAGAAAAAAGACCUUCAGCAGAAAAUCGUUUCUGUUGCGUGUGUCUUUACGUGACGGCAGUUACAGUGCAUAGAAAGUCUUGAGUAGGUGAAUACUGGCGAUAUAGACAGAGAUCUGGAUUUGUUGAGAAUAGUUGAAAGUUCACACAGCUGACUUUCACCAGUGUCCUUGACGAAGCACCUACUACCACCAGAGUUAUACCUACUACCACCCUUUCUUGUCAUCACCAGCCUUGUAAGCCGAGGUGAAAAUGAGCGAACACGAAAAUAUCAAAGACAAGACGCCGAAUACAAAGUUCGUUAAUAACAUCUCUCAGUCACAAACUAAUGAAAACCUGAAUAAUAAAGACAACGAAAUCCUAGCGACUCCUUGUCAAUCUCCUACAAAUUUGCGGACAUCACCUAAAUGUUUGCAAGAUUGUCAAGCAGGACGAUAUUCUCUCGGAGAAAAUGCUUGUUCUCUUCCGUCACCUCAGGAUGCAGACAACUUCGAACCUCAUGCAAAAACAAUCGAAACGCCCAAUUAUGGCAAAAACGACAGCAAACACCAUAGACAACCCAAUGUUACAUCACAUGCGCCCCAACAUUCCAUGUUUAUUCGUCCUAAACAUAAGCACGACUGUCGGAAAAACAAAGAACAUGAAUUCGAACGUUCAUCUGUUGAUACUGAUAAACAUUUCAGCAACAGUCAAUGGGUUUUGCAAGACCACCCAGAGGAGCUGCGAAACAAGAAGACUUUAAACAGCUCUUGCUUCUUUGACUUUAGCAAUCAUGACUCUUUAGAGCCAAAGACACAGCAAAGACAACUUGAUUUUUCUGAGGUGCUUGGGAACUUUCUAACAAAAGGAUCAGCCCAUCAAUCCCUGAAUUUGGGUGAGAGAGUGGAGCCUCAAUCGUCUUAUGCCAGCCAGCCUAGUCAUGUGAUCACGUGUAGAGACAGUGGUCAGACAGACAGACAGUAUUCUCCCAGUAAUACACCCGAGGUAGAAGGUAGUUCUAGGGAUCAUACCUUAAGUGUAGUGGGUGCUGUCCAUCAGCAUUCUCGAAAUCAGUUACUGGAAUGUGAAAACAAGAUAAAAAAUUAUUAUGAUGGUCAUACAGCAGAUGUGAAAGAAUAUUGUGUGGAUCGCAGAUUAGAAGUUAGUGAAAAUGUCAGAAAGUAUUCUGUGGAUCAUACACCAGACAGAGGAGAUGGGAGUGAAAUAUCACCAGAAGUGAAAGACCAUUUACAAAUGUAUACUGUUCUGAAACAGGAUGAAGGCGAUUACGGUGAAGGGUGGUCUGAAUGUCAGUCAAGAAAAGUAGAAGCAAUAACCAAUCCGCAUGCUGAGGACAUACACCGUGAAAAUCAUUCUGCUGAAGAAACUGAAAGCUUGUGCUUUGAAAGGCAGCCAACUGAAAUUGGACACAGUGAGAGGAGGAAUUCUGAAAGUCAGCAAAUGGAAACGGGAGAAACUGGUCAGAUGCAUUUGGAAGUUCUUUCGCUAGACACAAGAGAAAGGUAUGAGAAGAGCUCUAAAUCACGCUCUCUGAAAGAACUGAAUUAUGAAGAGAUGAAGUGUCAGCCUCUCGAAAGAGAAGAUAACAGUAAGAUAUCUUCUCAAUCUCAGUCGUUAACACAAGGCACAGCUUUGAAGUCGAACGACUUUAUUCAGUCUGCAAACAGAUCUUCACUAAGUGCAUUGCAUUCAAAACAACAUCAUAAUAGUGACCAUCAGAAUAAAAGAGCGAAAACUGCAACUUGACAAAGAAUUAGUACCAAGAGAAAUCAAUCGUGCUGAACUGUUACCUUUUCCUGCUAGUGUGCAAGGUGCUGAUCCAGAACUUGAAAACCAGGAAGAGGAGGUAAAUACUCAUAAUGAGCAACUACUACCAAACUCAGAGGCCGAUGUCUAUUUAAGACUUCACGAGGGUCAUGCUAUUGAAGAAGCAGAAGGAGCAGUCGACGGGUUCCAGAAUGAUGAUCCACACUCUCAAGGUGCUGCAAACCAGGUUGCUUUUGUUUUGUCACCACUGGUAUCCAGACCUGUUUCAGAGGACACUAAAUCUUGUAUUGACAGACUCUUGCCCACUCAAGAAAGAAAGUUCCCAGAUGCAGAUGCUGGAUUGUCGUCUGUUAACACACCCUCUUUCUCUACGGAACUACACCUUCCUUUCCGGGAAGACGGCGAUGCACGUUUAGCUCCAGGCUCUAUGGUACAUACAGGUCAUCGACACAAUUGUGAAACGAGGGGGUUGUCUCCGAGUCCUCGUUAUCCCGAGGAGCGUUGUGUAGCACGAGGCGUCGGAUCACUUACUCCUGUUCCUACCGGAUACAUCCCAUCGGAGAUGACAGCGACACGACGCAGAGGUAGCGUAAGGUUACGGGACAGCUCCACCGGCCUACUGACUGGAAUGCACAGACGUGAUGAUAACGAGUCUGAGAGGUUACUGCUGCUGCGUGGCCAUCAUAGACCAGCAGCCCUCCAUCAUCAACAAAGAAGGCCGACAUCGGAUCCUGCGCUUGGUGUCCAUUGUCUAGUAGCGGUCGGCGUGACAGUUACGCCAGACGAGCGAGACUUUCAGAUCCCAGGAGUCGUCAGCCUCCUCUCAUCAGCUGCUCGAGCAUCUAGGAUACCAGAGAUUCGGGGUAACCGUGGCCAUUUAUCAUUUAUCCACCUUCACCCAGGUGUCUCCGUGCAAAGCGAAGAGACGGGAGAGGACAACCUAGUCCCCGCGCAAGUUGUCGAGUUUGCUCAUCGUGCACCACCAGGUGCCGACAUCUAUCAUCAAGAUACGCACGACAUCGAUCUGCACUUGCGGCGAGUCCUGGGGACUCAUCUCCACCUUCGGCCAGGUUCCACCAUCCAGUCUGGUGUGACGGAAGUUUCUUUCACUGAUAUCGAUGUCAGUCUCAGUUCUGCCCUCGGGAGACGUUUGGCAUACCGGAUUUUUGCAGGCCUUGAUCCACAUACAGUCUACGAGGAUGAGGGAGAUGAGAAUGGAGAUACUUAUGCGUCUGACACCGAAGAUGAGGAAGGCGCAACAUAACCCCGCUUUGCACGAGAUACAACCCUCUAAGUUGGACCAUUACUUACGAGAAGCUCACCAUACCACUGCACAUCCAGAUUCCAGUGCUGAAAAACUGUGGAUGUAAUACCUCUACUUUUAAACCUAAAAAAUUAUAUCAGGUUAAAUUAAGCGAACAUGAUAAAGAGGAAUGGUUGUAUUUCAAACAACAGGCAAUGAAAACAAGAAAAAAACCCAAAUGAAAUGUGCUGUGAUAAAAACUUGUCUAAAAUUAAGUGAACGUAAUGAAAUUGUAGUUAAGGAAAUAUAUAGAGAUGUAUAUUUCUUUGCUUCUGCGUGUGCCUUAAUAUAAAUAUUUCUGAAAGAGAUGACUGGAAAAUGUAUUGAUAAACA